rnacentral:rRNA from 1 species
UACGAGGGGGGCGAGCGUUGUUCGGAAUUAUUGGGCGUAAAGGGUGCGUAGGCGGUUUGGUAAGUCUUGUGUGAAAUCUUCGGGCUCAACUCGAAGUCUGCAUGAGAAACUGCCGGGCUUGAGUAUGGGAGAGGUGAGUGGAAUUCCCGGUGUAGCGGUGAAAUGCGUAGAUAUCAGGAGGAACACCGGUGGUGUAGACGGCUCUCUGGACCGUAACUGACGCUGAGACACGAAAGCGUGGGUAGCAAACAG